GUUAGCUGCGUUCCUUUUCUUUUUAGAAGACAAAGGAAUCGUCCGGUUCGAAUAUUAUGGAAGAUUUAUAAUAAAAACAUCCUAAAGAUUGAUUCUAUACAUCGUUUGACAUUCUAUACAUCGUCUGAAAUAUAACUUUUUAGACUUUCGUCUGAACUUAACUGCACGAGCACAAUGCAUUUGGAGUACUCUACCGAACGCGCGAACAAAAAGGAGGUAUUUGGACAUAUAUAUGGACUUUAUCGAAACAAAUGAACAUUUAUUGGGGAACUGGGAUUCCUGGGAGUGCAUUCUGACGAAGAUCAUCAAAGGAUCUGAGCCCUAGGACCAUGCCUCAGGACUACCUGGUAUGAUGACUCCUUGCUGUCCCCAGUCCACCUGGCCGUGCUGCUGCUCCAGUUUCAACUGUUCUGCCUGCGGCUAUGGAACCCUGACCUGUUCACCGGACGUGCUUGUUGCACCCUCGACAACUACUAUGAUUAUUAUUAUUUGACCAUGCUGGUCAUUUAUGAACAUUUUAACAUCUUGACCAUGUUCUGUUAUAAUAUCCACCCUGCACAGCCAGAAGAGGACUGGCCACCCCUCAUAGCCUGGUUCCUCUCUAGGUUUCUUCCUAGGUUUUUGGCCUUUCUAGGGAGUUUUUCCUAGGGAGUUUUUCCUAGCCACCGUGCUUCUUUCACAUGCUUUGCUUGCUGUUUGGGGUUUUAGGCUGGGUUUCUGUACAGCACUUUGAGGUAUCAGCUGAUGUACGAAGGGCUAUAUAAAUAAAUUUGAUUUGAUUUAGGCAAGAGGCCCGCGGGCAUACAUAUACCCGUAGUAAUUUAUUGUCUAUGCACACUAGGAAAGACCUGGGCGGACCAUCCCCUGUAUUUUGUUUAGUGCACCAGGUGGUGCUAGUUAGGUAAGUAGUGGGUAGGCAGGUAAGGUAGGAGAGGGGGCUUUGAUAUUUAGUUUCUUUGCUUUGGUUCCGUCCAGCCCCUUUUCCCCAACUUACCGCGUGAAGGAAUAAAUUCCCUGUUAACGGUAUUCUCUGCCUUUUUGUCAUCCUUACUCACACCUACACUUCCAUACCUUUUUCACACCACGG
rnacentral:lncRNA from 1 species